rnacentral:tRNA from 1 species
ACUUAUAUAGUUUAAAAUAAAACAUUUUAUUUUCAAUAAAAAAAUAAAUAUUAUAUUUUAUAAGUU